rnacentral:tRNA from 1 species
AAUAAAGUGCCUGAGUAAAGGGUUAUUUUGAUAGAAUAAAUUAUAUAAUUAAAUAUUAUCUUUAUUA